AUAAGUGAAAUAAGGGCGUAUGGGGGAUGCCUAGGCUCUUGGAGGCGAAGAAGGACGUGUUAAGCUGCGAUAAGCCCUGGGGAACUGCACAAGAGUGUUGAUCCGGGGAUUUCCGAAUGGGGCAACCCACUGGAUGGAAGAUCCAGUAUCCUAAAAUAGGAGGCAAACCUGCUGAACUGAAACAUCUAAGUAAGCAGAGGAAGAGAAAACAAAAGUGAUUCCGUAAGUAGUGGCGAGCGAAAGCGGAUUAGCCCAAACCAGUAUUGUUUAGGCAAGACUGGGGUUGUAGGACUUCGAUAUCUGUACAUAAGAGGAACAAGAACUGUCUGGGAAGGC
rnacentral:rRNA from 1 species